rnacentral:rRNA from 1 species
UGGGGGAUAUUGCACAAUGGGCGAAAGCCUGAUGCAGCGACGCCGCGUGGGGGAUGAAGGCCUUCGGGUUGUAAACUUCUUUUGCUCUGAACAAGGCAUGCCUUUGGGGUGUGUUGAGUGUAGGGGUUGAUUAGCGCCGGCUAACUACGUGCCAGCAGCCGCGGUAAUACGUAGGGCGCGAGCGUUGUCCGGAAUUCUUGGGCGUAAAGGGCUUGUAGGUGGCUGGUUGAGUCGGUCGUGAAAGCUCAUGGAUUAACUGUGGGUUUGCGGUGGGUACGGGCUGGCUUGAGUGCAGUAGGGGAGGCUGGAAUUCCUGGUGUAGCGGUGGAAUGCGCAGAUAUCAGGAGGAAUACCGGUGGCGAAGGCGGGUCUCUGGGCUGUUACUGACGCUGAGGAGCGAAAGCGUGGGGAGCGAACAGG